rnacentral:ncRNA from 2 species
GGAAGGUCUCAUAAUCGAGUCAACAACUGAAUAGCCCAUAGGUUGUCGGGAAGCCGGUGCGAAUCCGGCGUUGUCGCGCAACUGUGAGUGGGGAGCGAACGGCUAGCGGCCACCGAGUCGGUUCGGGAAGGCAGCCGGGAGCAGAGAUCCACAAGCCAGGAGACCGGACUCAUGGGCGGAACGCUC